CAAAAGUAGAGUAGUAGUCAACAACAAAGUUAUGUGACCAUGUUGACUGUGAUGCUACAUUGUACUAGACUCCUCUUGAUGCAAAGAUUGUCAUUUUGUGUUCAUGAUGAAUCAAAAAAGUCUCCUAAUAGAGGAAAACUAAUUGAGCUACUAAACCGAUAUGCAGCUCGUUGUAAGGAAGUUAAAAGAAAUAUUAUUUAGUAAUGCUCCUAAAAAUGACCAAAUGAUUUCACCAAAUAUCUAAAAUGAUUUGGUUAAUUGCUGUGUCGUAGAGACGACAAUGGCUA
rnacentral:lncRNA from 1 species